AAUGGGGGAUAACGUAGCGAAAGUUACGCUAAUACCGCAUAUGCCCUGAGGGGGAAAGUGGGGGAUCGCAAGACCUCACGUUUUCGGAGCGGCCGAUAUCAGAUUAGCUAGUUGGUGGGGUAAAGGCCUACCAAGGCGACGAUCUGUAGCUGGUCUGAGAGGACGACCAGCCACACUGGGACUGAGACACGGCCCAGACUCCUACGGGAGGCAGCAGUGGGGAAUUUUGGACAAUGGGGGCAACCCUGAUCCAGCCAUGCCGCGUGAGUGAAGAAGGCCUUCGGGUUGUAAAGCUCUUUCGGACAGAAAGAAAUCCUAUCCGCUAACACCGGGUGGGGAUGACGGUACUGUAAGAAGAAGCACCGGCUAACUACGUGCCAGCAGCCGCGGUAAUACGUAGGGUGCGAGCGUUAAUCGGAAUUACUGGGCGUAAAGCGUGCGCAGGCGGUUUAUUAAGACAGAUGUGAAAUCCCCGGGCUUAACCUGGGAACUGCAUUUGUGACUGGUAGGCUAGAGUGUGGCAGAGGGGGGUAGAAUUCCA
rnacentral:rRNA from 1 species